CCUAUGGUGGAGGAUAACCCCGGGAAACUGGGGAUAAUACUCCAUAAGUCAGGAGUACUGGAAUGUCUCCUAACUGAAAGUUGCGGCGCCAUAGGAUGAAUCUGCGGCCGAUUAGGUAGUUGUUGGGGUAACGGCCCAACAAGCCUGUGAUCGGUACGGGUUGUGGGAGCAAGAGCCCGGAGAUGGAAUCUGAGACACGAUUCCAGGCCCUACGGGGCGCAGCAGGCGCGAAAACUUUACAAUGCAGGAAACUGUGAUAAGGGAACCCCGAGUGCCCGUAAACGCGGGCUGUCCCGGUGUUUAAAACACAUCGGAAGAAAGGGCCGGGCAAGACCGGUGCCAGCCGCCGCGGUAAUACCGGCGGCUCGAGUGGUGACCACUUUUAUUGGGGCUUAAAGCGUUCGUAGCUUGAUUUUUAAGUCUCUUGGGAAAUCUCACGGCUUAACUGUGAGGCGUCUAAGAGAUACUGGGAAUCUAGGGACCGGGAGAGGUAGAGGUACUUUCAGGGGUAGAGUGAAAUUC
rnacentral:rRNA from 1 species